rnacentral:rRNA from 1 species
GUCCACGCCCUAAACGAUGGAUACUAGGUGUGGGAGGUAUUGACCCCUUCCGUGCCGAAGCCAACGCGUUAAGUAUCCCGCCUGGGGACUACGGCCGCAAGGUUAAAACUCAAAGGAAUUGACGGGGGCCCGCACAAGCAGCGGAGCGUGUGGUUCAAUUCGAUGCAACACGAAGAACCUUACCCAGGCUUGACAUGCAAGUGGUAGCGAAGCGAAAGCGGAGCGACCCGCAAGGGAGCUUGCACAGGUGUUGCAUGGCUGUCGU